UUUUAUGACCUAAAUAGCCCCAAAGGCACCAAAUCUCAGCUGAUCUUGGAAACUAAGCAGGAUCAGCCCUGGUUAGGCUUGGAUGGUAAACCACCAACAAAUACCUGGUGUUGUAGGUU
rnacentral:rRNA from 11 species